rnacentral:rRNA from 1 species
GAUGAACGCUGGCGGCGUGCCUAAUACAUGCAAGUCGAGCGAACAGAUGAGGAGCUUGCUCCUCUGACGUUAGCGGCGGACGGGUGAGUAACACGUGGAUAACCUACCUAUAAGACUGGGAUAACUUCGGGAAACCGGAGCUAAUACCGGACAAUAUAUUGAACCGCAUGGUUCAAUAGUGAAAGACGGUUUUGCUGUCACUUAUAGAUGGAUCCGCGCCGCAUUAGCUAGUUGGUAAGGUAACGGCUUACCAAGGCAACGAUGCGUAGCCGACCUAAGAGGGUGAUCGGCCACACUGGAACUGAGACACGGUCCAGACUCCUACGGGAGGCAGCAGUAGGGAAUCUUCCGCAAUGGGCGAAAGCCUGACGGAGCAACGCCGCGUGAGUGAUGAAGGUCUUCGGAUCGUAAAACUCUGUUAUUAGGGAAGAACAAAUGUGUAAGUAACUAUGCACGUCUUGACGGUACCUAAUCAGAAAGCCACGGCUAACUACGUG